rnacentral:rRNA from 1 species
UACGUAGGGUGCAAGCGUUGUCCGGAAUCAUUGGGCGUAAAGCGCGCGUAGGUGGCUUCGUAAGUCCGUUGUGAAAGUCAAAGGCUCAACCUUUGAAUGCCGAUGGAUACUGCGGAGCUAGAGUACGGAAGAGGCGAGUGGAAUUCCUGGUGUAGCGGUGGAAUGCGCAGAUAUCAGGAGGAACACCAAUAGCGAAGGCAGCUCGCUGGGACGUUACUGACGCUAAGGCGCGAAAGCGUGGGGAGCGAACAGG